rnacentral:rRNA from 1 species
UACGAAGGGGGCUAGCGUUGCUCGGAAUUACUGGGCGUAAAGCGCACGUAGGCGGGUUCUUAAGUCGGUGGUGAAAUCCUGGAGCUCAACUCCAGAACUGCCUUUGAUACUGGGAAGCUUGAGUCCGGGAGAGGUGAGUGGAACUCCGAGUGUAGAGGUGAAAUUCGUAGAUAUUCGGAAGAACACCAGUGGCGAAGGCGGCUCACUGGCCCGGUACUGACGCUGAGGUGCGAAAGCGUGGGGAGCAAACAGG